rnacentral:rRNA from 1 species
GUGAGGAAUCUUGCGCAAUGGGCGAAAGCCUGACGCAGCGACGCCGCGUGGAGGAUGAAGGUCUUCGGAUUGUAAACUCCUGUGAGGUGGGACGAAUGCUGGAGAGGUUAACAGCCUCUUCAGUUGACGGUACCAUCAGAGGAAGCCCCGGCUAACUCCGUGCCAGCAGCCGCGGUAAUACGGAGGGGGCCAGCGUUGUUCGGAAUCAUUGGGCGUAAAGGGCGCGUAGGCGGCCAUUCAAGUCGGACGUGAAAUCCCUCGGCUCAACUGGGGAAUUGCGUCCGAUACUGUUCGGCUCGAGUCCUGGAGAGGGUAAUGGAAUUCCCAGUGUAGCGGUGAAAUGCGUAGAUACUGGGAGGAACACCAGUGGCGAAGGCGGUUACCUGGACAGGUACUGACGCUGAGGCGCGAAAGCUAGGGGAGCAAACAGGAUUAGAUACCCCUGUAGUCC